CGAAAUGCGAUACGUAGUGUGAAUUGCAGAUUCCGUGAAUCAUCGAAUCUUUGAACGCAAAUUGUA
rnacentral:rRNA from 1 species